CAGAUGGGAGAGUAAAAUAGAAUGAAGGAAAGGGUAUGGCUUUGCCCCCUCUUUUUUUUUCUUCCAUGAGAUCUAACUAGACUGGAAGGGUUUGACAAACAAUUAACAAUCCUUCCCACUCAGCUGCUGUUUCCCAAAAUAGCAUCUCCUUGGCUGCCAGGGUAGAUGGGGGCCUUCCGGGGAGGAAGGCACAAAGGUGCCCUCUUUAUGAAGCCUGCAUCUCUAUGAGAUCUUGAAGGCAGAGGGAGAAGCCCAGGGGAUUAAAUUAGCAGGCAGCCCAGGCUCCACCUGGAAGGGAAACAGAUAAUAGGCUUUAAAGACAGGAAACAGCUUGUGCUCCAAAAUAAUAAUUUUCGAAAGCAACACAUGAUGGAUGCUGGGAAGGUUUUCUCCCCACCUCACACCCCCAGUUCAUAAUUUCGAAGCAAAAUCUCUGUUUAAGAUGCAAUUCGCGGCUUGACUUUGUCAAACGUCUUAAAGAAGAAAAAUACCUCAUGGAGUGAAGGGAUAUUCUGGAGACCGGAGAAGGACUUUUAGAGUAAAGAGAGGAAUAUAUGCUGUUAUAUUUCCAAAGGACCCUCCCACAAAGGCAUCUGCGGCUGACUCAAAUAAAACCUGUGGUUGGCCUAGACAUUGUCAUGGUUCCUGGCCUCUCCUGUAAGAAGACAGUGAGAGGUGAGCAGCGUUCCAACCCCACCAGCUAUGCUGGAAAUGGUCUCUGGGGCCAGUGAAGGAUUUGACGCCCCCACCUCCACACACCCUCAACCGCUCUCCCUGUGGAGCAGAGUGGGCACACUUAAGGUG
ensembl:lncRNA